UCAGCCGGGCCCAUCACCAGCAACGCCCGCUCGGUGCCCCACUGGGGCGCACAGGUUGAUGCCCCAGCCGCACCUGAAGAGGAGGGGCGCGAUGAAGGGGGAAACGGCCAGAGGGGAAUAGGUAAGGGGGCAGCAUGCUCGAGGGGGAGGGGGGUAAAACACCAAAUGCCAUUAUUUUGCCCCAAAGUCACAAGGCCUCGUUGCGACACGUGCCCUGCGGCCCUGCGGCCUUUCUCCGCGACCACUAGUUGAACCCAAAUCACGAAGUACGCACCACACCCACACCCACGUCGCCCACCCACCCACCUGAGACGGGCGUUAAACAAGUACGGAAGCUGCCGCAAGCCCUGGCGAUAAAGGGCCCGGGCCAUGGCCACUGCUGCAGUUGCUUGCUGAUCUGCCGGCUGCUGCUGCUGCUGCUGCUGCUGCUGCUGCUGACUACAUAAUGAAAAAAAAGUAAAAAUACGGUGACAGGAGGUGCAAAGGCCUGGGAAAACCCAUAACCUCUACAACCCCGGCACCCUAAUGCACGCCUUAGCUUAUUAGGCUGAGGCGCAUUACUAAUCUAUAAUAACAUAUUUAAAACAGAGUAAAUAAAUAAGUAAAUAAAUAAAGCGGAAAUAGAUAUCAUGGUUCAGCUUUAUUUAUUCAUCUAUUAUUUAAUAAGGUGUAGCCUCCCCUUAAUUAGGUAAUCCCCAAACAAAUGAAAAUCAAUUGUGCACAACCAGGGCUGUGGGCACCACAAACGAAAACACGACAGACUGUACACGCGCGGCAACAGCCGCGACACGCGCAUACUCGCUGAUGCUGGUUGUUGGCUGCUGGCUG
rnacentral:lncRNA from 1 species